CUACGGGAGGCUGCAGUGGGGAAUAUUGCACAAUGGAGGAAACUCUGAUGCAGCAACGCCGCGUGGAGGAUGACACUUUUCGGAGCGUAAACUCCUUUUAUAUAGGAAGAAGAUGACGGUACUAUAUGAAUAAGCGCCGGCUAGCUCCGUGCCAGCAGCCGCGGUAAUACGGAGGGCGCAAGCGUUACUCGGAAUCACUGGGCGUAAAGAGCGUGUAGGCGGAUUAAAAAGUCAGAAGUGAAAUCCUAUAGCUUAACUAUAGAACUGCUUCUGAAACUCUUAAUCUAGAAUAUGGGAGAGGUAGAUGGAAUUUCUGGAGUAGGGGUAAAAUCCGUAGAGAUCAGAAGGAAUACCGAUUGCGAAGGCGAUCUACUAGAACAUUAUUGACGCUGAGACGCGAAAGCGUGGGGAGCAAACAGGAUUAGAUACCCGAGUAGUC
rnacentral:rRNA from 1 species